AAGUGAGAAGCAAACCUUGCAAUCAGUUUCGACCUGAUCUUUGAUAUGAAAUAUAUCCUCACUUU
rnacentral:tRNA from 1 species